rnacentral:rRNA from 1 species
GACGAACGCUGGCGGCGUGCCUAACACAUGCAAGUCGAACGGGGGUAGCAACACCCCAGUGGCGAACGGGUGCGUAACACGUGAGGAACAUUCCCUCCGGUGGGGGAUAGCCGGCCGAACGGCCGGGUAAUACCGCAUACGCUGUUCGGUGUGCAUACCCUGGACCGGAAAGCAGCAAUGCGCCGGAGAGGUGCCUCGCGGCCUAUCAGCUAGUUGGUGAGGUAACGGCUCACCAAGGCGACGACGGGUAGCUGGUCUGAGAGGAUGGCCAGCCACAUUGGGACUGAGACACGGCCCGGACUCCUACGGGAGGCAGCAGUGGGGAAUCUUGCGCAAUGGGCGAAAGCCUGACGCAGCGACGCCGCGUGUGGGAUGACGGCCUUCGGGUUGUAAACCACUGUCGCGAGGGACGAAGAUCUGACGGUACCUCGAAAGGAAGCACCGGCUAACUCUGUGCCAGCCGCCGCGGUAAUAC